AUUGAAACGCCGCUUCUCGUAAGACCGCCGAAGUUAAGCAACGUCGUGCCCGAUCAGUAUCUAGACGGGGGACCGCUUGGGAAUUCCAAGUGCUGUAAG